UCAGAUUGAACGCUGGCGGAAUGCUUUACACAUGCAAGUCGAACGGCAGCACGGGGGCAACCCUGGUGGCGAGUGGCGAACGGGUGAGUAAUACAUCGGAACGUGCCCAGUCGUGGGGGAUAACUACGCGAAAGCGUAGCUAAUACCGCAUACAAUCUACGGAUGAAAGCGGGGGAUCGCAAGACCUCGCGCGAUUGGAGCGGCCGAUGGCAGAUCAGGUAGUUGGUGGGGUAAAGGCUCACCAAGCCGACGAUCUGUAGCUGGUCUGAGAGGACGACCAGCCACACUGGGACUGAGACACGGCCCAGACUCCUACGGGAGGCAGCAGUGGGGAAUUUUGGACAAUGGGCGCAAGUCUGAUCCAGCCAUUCCGCGUGCAGGAUGAAGGCCCUCGGGUUGUAAACUGCUUUUGUACGGAACGAAACGGCGCUUUCUAAUACAAGGCGCUAAUGACGGUACCGUAAGAAUAAGCACCGGCUAACUACGUGCCAGCAGCCGCGGUAAUACGUAGGGUGCGAGCGUUAAUCGGAAUUACUGGGCGUAAAGCGUGCGCAGGCGGUGAUGUAAGACAGAUGUGAAAUCCCCGGGCUCAACCUGGGAACUGCAUUUGUGACUGCAUCGCUGGAGUGCGGCAGAGGGGGAUGGAAUUCCGCGUGUAGCAGUGAAAUG
rnacentral:rRNA from 1 species